rnacentral:lncRNA from 1 species
AAAAUCAAUUCAAGAUGGAUUAAAGACUUAAACACUAGACCUAAAACCAUAAAAACCCUAGAAGAAAACCUAGGCAUUACCAUUCAGGACAUAGGCAUGGGCAAGGACUUCAUGUCUAAAACACCAAAAGCAAUGGCAACCAAAGCCAAAAUUGACAAAUGGGAUCUAAUUAAACUAAAGAGCUUCUGCAGAGCAAAAGAAACUACCAUCAGAGUGAACAGGCAACCUACAAAAUGGGAGAAAUUUUUCACAACCUACUCAUCUGACAAAGGGCUAAUAUCCAGAAUCUACAAUGAACACAAACAAAUUUACAAGAAAAAAACAACCCCAUCAAAAAGUGGACAAAGGGCAUGAACAGACACUUCUCAAAAGAAGACAUUUAUGCAGCCAAAAAACACAUGAAAAAAUGCUCACCAUCACUGGCCAUCAGAGAAAUGCAAAUCAAAACCACAAUGAGAUACCAUCUCACACCAGUUAGAAUGGCAAUCAUUAAAAAGUCAGGAAACAACGGGUGCUGGAAAGGAUGUGGAGAAAUAGGAACA